rnacentral:rRNA from 1 species
GUAAGCGGUUGAAGGUGUGUGGUAACGCAUGCUGGACGUAUCAGAAGUGCGAAUGCUGACAUGAGUAACGAUAAAGGGGGUGAAAAACCUCCUCGCCGGAAGACCAAGGGUUCCUGUCCAACGUUAAUCGGGGCAGGGUAAGUCGACCCCUAAGGCGAGGCCGAAAGGCGUAGUCGAUGGGAAACGGGUUAAUAUUCCCGUACUUCUUACAAUUGCGAUGGGGGGACGGAGAAGGCUAGGUGGGCCUGGCGACGGUUGUCCAGGUUCAAGUGCGUAGGCUUAAGAGUUAGGUAAAUCCGGCUCUUUUUAAGGCUGAGACACGACGUCGAGCACCUACGGGUGUGAAGUCAUUGAUGCCAUGCUUCCAGGAAAAGCCUCUAAGCUUCAGAUUGUAAGGAAUCGUACCCCAAACCGACACAGGUGGUCGGGUAGAGAAUACCAAGGCGCUUGAGAGAACUCGGGUGAAGGAACUAGGCAAAAUGGUACCGUAA